rnacentral:rRNA from 1 species
AGUGAAUAGAACCGGGUAGUCCUAGCCGUAAACGAUACUCGCUAGGUGUCGGCCACGGUGCGACCGUUGUCGGUGCCGUAGGGAAAGCCGUGAAGCGAGCCACCUGGGAAGUACGGCCGCAAGGCUGAAACUUAAAGGAAUUGGCGGGGGAGCACCACAACGGGUGGAGCUUGCGGUUUAAUUGGAUUCAACGCCGGAAAUCUUACCGGGACCGACAGCGAUAUGAAGGCCAGGCUGAAGACUUUGCCGGAUUAGCUGAGAGGUGGUGCAUGGCCGUCGUCAGUUCGUACUGUGAAAGCAUCCUGUUAAGUCAGGCAACGAGCGAGACCCACGCCCACAGUUGCCAGCGUACUCUCCGGAGUGACGGGUACACUGUGGGGACCGCCGCUGCUAAAGCGGAGGAAGGAAUGGGCAACGGUAGGUCAGUAUGCCCCGAAUAUCCCGGGCUACACGCGAGCUACAAUGGUUGGAACAAUGGGUAUCUACCCCGAAAGGGGAUGGAAAUCUCCUAAAUCCAAUCUUAGUUCGGAUUGAGGGCUGCAACUCGCCCUC